rnacentral:rRNA from 1 species
CUAGAGGAAUGGAGGGGAGACUGAAUACUUGGUGUAGCAGUGAAAUGCGUAGAUAUCAAGUGGAACACCAGUGGGAAGGCGAGUCUCUGGACAUUUCCUGACGUGAGGCACGAAAGCCAGGGGAGCAAACGGGAUUAGAUACCCCGGUAGUCCUGGCCUAAACGGUGCGCAUUUGCUGUGAGAGGAAUCGACCCCUUUCGUGGCGAAGCUAACGCGUUAAAUGCGCCGCCUGGGAAGUACGGCCGCAAGGUUAAAACUCAAAGAAAUUGACGGGGGCCUGCACAAGCGGUGGAGUAUGUGGCUCAAUUCGAUGCAACGCGAAGAACCUUACCUGGCCUUGACAUGCAAGUAGUAGAACCCUGAGAGGGGGACGAGGUAGCAAUACCAGCUUGCACAGGUGCUGCAUGGCUGUCGUCAGCUCGUGUCGUGAGAUGUUGGGUUAAGUCCCGCAACAAGCGCAACCCCUGUGUCCUGUUGCCACCCCUUAAUUGGGAGCACUCUGGACAGACUGCCUCGCUUCAACGAGGAGGAAGGUGGGGAUGACGUCAAGUCAGUAUGGCCCUUACGGCCAGGGCUGCACACGUACUACAAUGCCCGGUACAAAGGGAAGCAAAACCGUCAGGUGGAGCAAAUCCCCCAAAACCGGGCCCAGUUCAGAUUGUCGUCUGCAACUCGACGGCAUGAAGCUGGAAUCGCUAGUAAUGGCGCAUCAGCUACGGCGCCGUGAAUACGUUCCCAGGCCUUGUACACACCGCCCGUCACAUCAUGAAAGCCGCUUGUACCCGAAGUCGCCCCUCAAAAGGUGCCGAAGGUAUGGGUGGUA